UGAGGAAUAUUGGUCAAUGGGCGAGAGCCUGAACCAGCCAAGUAGCGUGAAGGAUGACCGCCCUAUGGGUUGUAAACUUCUUUUAUAUGGGAAUAAAGGGUGCCACGUGUGGCAUUUUGUAUGUACCAUAUGAAUAAGGAUCGGCUAACUCCGUGCCAGCAGCCGCGGUAAUACGGAGGAUCCGAACGUUAUCCGGAUUUAUUGGGUUUAAAGGGAGCGUAGGUGGACAUGUAAGUCAGUUGUGAAAGUUUGCGGCUCAACCGUAAAAUUGCAGUUGAAACUGCGUGUCUUGAGUACAGUAGAGGUGGGCGGAAUUCGUGGUGUAGCGGUGAAAUGCUUAGAUAUCACGAAGAACUCCGAUUGCGAAGGCAGCUCACUGGACUGCAACUGACACUGAUGCUCGAAAGUGUGGGUAUCAAACAGGAUUAGAUACCCUGGUAGUCCACACAGUAAACGAUGAAUACUCGCUGUUUGCGAUAUACAGUAAGCGGCCAAGCGAAAGCAUUAAGUAUUCCACCUGGGGAGUACGCCGGCAACGGUGAAACUCAAAGGAAUUGACAGGGGCCCGCACAAGCGGAGGAACAUGUGGUUUAAUUCGAUGAUACGCGAGGAACCUUACCCGGGCUUAAAUUGCAAAUGAAUAUGCCGGAAACGGCAUAGCCGCAAGGCAUUUGUGAAGGUGCUGCAUGGUUGUCGUCAGCUCGUGCCGUGAGGUGUCGGCUUAAGUGCCAUAACGAGCGCAACCCUUAUCUUCAGUUACUAACAGGUCAUGCUGAGGACUCUGGAGAGACUGCCGUCGUAAGAUGUGAGGAAGGUGGGGAUGACGUCAAAUCAGCACGGCCCUUACGUCCGGGGCUACACACGUGUUACAAUGGGGGGUACAGAAGGCCGCUACACAGCGAUGUGAUGCCAAUCCCUAAAGCCCCUCUCAGUUCGGAUCGAAGUCUGCAACCCGACUUCGUGAAGCUGGAUUCGCUAGUAAUCGCGCAUCAGCCACGGCGCGGUGAAUACGUUCCC
rnacentral:rRNA from 1 species